CCUACGGGUGGCAGCAGUAGGGAAUAUUGCUCAAUGGGGGAAACCCUGAAGCAGCAACGCCGCGUGGAGGAUGAAGGUUUUCGGAUUGUAAACUCCUUUUGUUAGAGAAGAUAAUGACGGUAUCUAACGAAUAAGCACCGGAUAACUCCGUGCCAGCAGCCGCGGUAAUCCGGAGGGUGCAAGCGUUACUCGGAAUCACUGGGCGUAAAGAGCGCGUAGGCGGGAUAGCAAGUCAGAUGUGAAAUCCUAUGGCUUAACCAUAGAACUGCAUUUGAAACUGUCAUUCUAGAGUGUGGGAGAGGUAGGUGGAAUUCUUGGUGUAGCGGUAAAAUGCGUAGAGAUCAAGAGGAAUACUCAUUGCGAAGGCGACCUGCUAGAACAUAACUGACGCUGAUGCGCGAAAGCGUGGGGAGCAAACAGGAUUAGAUACCCCAGUAGUC
rnacentral:rRNA from 1 species